CGCGUGGCUCCGGGAGCGCGGGACUCUGAACCGCGUCGAGGCAGGUGUUAUGGGCACGCCACCCCUACCCCGCCCCUGGACCCGACCUUGACGACGCGCCAGCACGACCCUCCCGCAUUAACAGUUAACCAUAGCGAGCCGACCCUCGACAGUUCUGGGGUUUCAGGCCGACCCAGGGUGGGUAACCACACCGGGCAGCAGAGUCCGGGCGUGGGGAGCAGACCGGACAUCCGAGGAAGGGACGGCCGAGGCGCUGCACGUCCAACCUAGAAUCUAAAACUUGGGCGCUGAGCCGGCUCCAGCACAUGGCAAUUAGGCGAAUUCUUACAAGGAUAAAACAUUUCUUUUACUCCUUGCAGUUAUUAGAAAGAAAUUAUAAUCAGGAAAGACAUCAUAGUUAAAAGGAAGUUUUUAUUAACAGCAAAAUCCUGUCCGAGGCUCUGAAGGCUCUGGUCUGACUUCCUCUCCAACCCCUCUCUCCUGGCACUCUACGCUGCCCUGAGGGACAGAACGAGGAGCACUGACUGCUUCUGGCCUCGGGCCCUCUGCACGUGCAGCUGCGCCACCUGGACCGCUCCCUGGCAGACCCCUCACGGCCUACCCACCCCUCGCUCAGAACUCAGCAGCAACGCAACUUACUCAGCACUCAUGAAGCACUCUCGUACCUGUCUGUACUUUUCCUUUCCUAAUGCCGUGUUGUUAUGAUUAAUGUCGCCUUCCUCUCAGUUCCACGGGGGCAGGCACCACGUUUGUUUUGCUCCCUGCUGUGUCCCCAGUCUAGCCUAGCACUCUGCCUGACAUAGAGAAGGCAUCUAUGAAUAUCUUUUGGCUGCUGAAUGAUAUUACACAUGUUAUAAAACAGUG